AAGCACCUCAAGUGGUCAGGAUGAUUAUUGGGCCUAAAGCAUCCGUAGCCGGCUCUAUAAGUUUUCGGUUAAAUCUGUAUGCUCAACAUACAGGCUGCCGGGAAUACUGCAGAGCUAGGGAGUGGGAGAGGUAGACGGUACUCGGUAGGAAGGGGUAAAAUCCUUUGAUCUAUUGAUGACCACCUGUGGCGAAGGCGGACUACCAGAACACGUCCGACGGUGAGGGAUGAAAGCUGGGGGAGCAAACCGGAUUAGAUACCCGAGUAGUCC
rnacentral:rRNA from 1 species